GGCCGGUUAGCUCAGUCGGUUGAGCACGGCGCUGACGACGCCAUGGCCGUGGGCUCGAUUCCCAUUCGGUCG
rnacentral:tRNA from 1 species